AAAAAAAAUAACGCGUGGGGAAUCUGCCUUUGAGCGGGGGACAACAUUUGGAAACGAAUGCUAAUACCGCAUAAAAACUUUAAACACACGUUUUAAGUUUGAAAGAUGCAAUUGCAUCACUCAAAGAUGAUCCCGCGUUGUAUUAGCUAGUUGGUGAGGUAAAGGCUCACCAAGGCGAUGCUACAUAGCCGACCUGAGAGGGUGAUAGGCCACAGUGGGACUGAAACACGGACCAAACGCCUACGGGAGGCAGCAGUAGGGAAUAGUCGGCAAUGGACGAAAGUCUGAACGAGCAACGCCGCGUGAGUGAAGAAGGUUUUUUGUUUUUU
rnacentral:rRNA from 1 species